rnacentral:rRNA from 1 species
AUUGAACGCUGGCGGCAUGCCUUACACAUGCAAGUCGAACGGUAACGGGCCUUCGGGUGCCGACGAGUGGCGAACGGGUGAGUAAUGUAUCGGAACGUACCUUUCAGUGGGGGAUAACGUAGCGAAAGUUACGCUAAUACCGCAUAUUCUGUGAGCAGGAAAGCAGGGGAUCGCAAGACCUUGCGCUGAUUGAGCGGCCGAUAUCAGAUUAGCUAGUUGGUGAGGUAAAGGCUCACCAAGGCGACGAUCUGUAGCGGGUCUGGGAGGAUGAUCCGCCACACUGGAACUGAGACACGGUCCAGACUCCUACGGGAGGCAGCAGUGGGGAAUUUUGGACAAUGGGGGCAACCCUGAUCCAGCCAUGCCGCGUGAGUGAAGAAGGCCUUCGGGUUGUAAAGCUCUUUCGGCCGGGAAGAAGUCGCAUGGGUUAAUACCCUGUGCGGAUGACGGUACCGGCAUAAGAAGCACCGGCUAACUACGUGCCAGCAGCCGCAGUAAGAC